UUCUCAGUGGGUUGGGAUCAAAGCUGGGAUCAAAGGUGGACAAAGCGUGAGUGAUGGCAGGUUUAAAUAAUGCUUCAUGCUUAUAUGGACAGUCAACUCACUCCCAUAGGUUAAGCCGGCCACCCUGGGUGGAGUCACUGAUGAUCGUGGAGACUCCGCCCUGCAGCAGCACUGAUUGGACGAUGACGGCCAAGAGACCAGCCAGCAUGAUGCCCACCUGGAACACAUCCGUCCACACCACUGCCUUAAGGCCACCCUGUCAGUAGAGGGUACAGAUGACUCCAGUUGAUAUAACAGCGCCCCAAAGAUCUACACCUGUGACUGUGGAUUAUCGAGAACACUUGUGCUGGUUAUGCCCAGUCUGUAGAAGAUAGGGAGAAAAAUCUCAGAGCUCACAACCACCAUCAGAACGUAAGCAAAGCAGAUGAGUAUGAAGAUGGCG